CACGGAGUUAGCCGAUCCUUAUUCUUACGGUACCGUCAAGCUGCUACACGUAGCAGUGUUUCUUCCCGUACAAAAGUAGUUUACACACCAUAGAUGCGUCAUCCUACACGCGGCAUGGCUGGUUCAGGCUUGCGCCCAUUGACCAAUAUUCCUCACUGCUGCCUCCCGUAGGAGUCUGGUCCGUGUCUCAGUACCAGUGUGGGGGAUCUCCCUCUCAGGACCCCUACCCAUCAUUGCCUUGGUAUGCCGUUACCACACCAACUAGCUAAUGGGACGCAUGCUCAUCUUACACCGAUAAAUCUUUAACUAUGUUAGGGAUGUCCCAGUCAUACUACUAUAAGGUAUUAAUCCAAAUUUCUCUGGGUCUAUCCCUUAGUGUAAAGGUAGACUUGCAUACGCGUUACGCACCCGUGCGCCGGUCUCAAAGUCCGAAGACUUCUACCCCGUCGACUUGCAUGUGUUAAGCCUGCCGCUAGCGUUCAUCCUGAGCCAGGAUCAAA
rnacentral:rRNA from 1 species